rnacentral:rRNA from 1 species
GACGAACGCUGGCGGCGUGCUUAACACAUGCAAGUCGAACGGAAAGGCCCUGCUUUUGUGGGGUGCUCGAGUGGCGAACGGGUGAGUAACACGUGAGUAACCUGCCCUUGACUUUGGGAUAACUUCAGGAAACUGGGGCUAAUACCGGAUAGGAGCUCCUGCUGCAUGGUGGGGGUUGGAAAGUUUCGGCGGUUGGGGAUGGACUCGAGGCUUAUCAGCUUGUUGGUGGGGUAGUGGCUUACCAAGGCUUUGACGGGUAGCCGGCCUGAGAGGGUGACCGGCCACAUUGGGACUGAGAUACGGCCCAGACUCGUACGGGAGGCAGCAGUGGGGAAUAUUGCACAAUGGGCGGAAGCCUGAUGCAGCAACGCCGCGUGCGAGAUGACGGCCUUCGGGUUGUAAACCGCUUUCGCCUGUGACGAAGCGUGAGUGACGGUAAUGGGUAAAGAAGCACCGGCUAACUACGUG